rnacentral:rRNA from 1 species
UACGUAGGGUCCGAGCGUUGUCCGGAAUUAUUGGGCGUAAAGAGCUCGUAGGCGGUUUGUCGCGUCUGCUGUGAAAUCCCGAGGCUCAACCUCGGGCCUGCAGUGGGUACGGGCAGACUGGAGUGCGGCAGGGGAGAACGGAAUUCCUGGUGUAGCGGUGAAAUGCGCAGAUAUCAGGAGGAACACCGAUGGCGAAGGCAGCUCGCUGGGACGGUACUGACGCUGAGGCGCGAAAGCGUGGGGAGCAAACAGG